rnacentral:sRNA from 1 species
UUCCCCGGCCUCGCCGGGGGAGUUCGACGACCAUCAUCCCCCCCGAUGGCCGCGAACGGAACGGGCGCGCUCCUCCCCCCCCCCCCCCCCGAGCCGCCCGUUCCACCC